GCAUCUGCACCACUCUCCCCAAAGCCAUGGCCAAUUCCCUCUGGAACACCAGGGGCAUCUCCUACUCAGGAUGAGCUGCACAGGCCAAAGUGAGUGCACAGACAUUCGCAUGGAGUGCUGACAGGGAAAUCAUGAAUGGAUUUCUGAUGUUGGGUCUACUGUUUUGAAAUCAGAAAAUGUGCUGUUGAAGUCAUCGUUAGCCUUUGAGAGGGAAACAGGAGAAAAAUCAGAUAAACUUGUUGCUAAAAAUGA